UACGGAGGGGGCGAGCGUUGUCCGAAGUUACUGGGCGUAAAGCGCACGUAGGUGGUUUUGUAAGUCGGAUGUGAAGUCCCCGGGCUCAACCCGGGAACUGCAUUCGAGACUGCAUUACUCGAGUAUGGGAGAGGGAAGCGGAAUUUCCGGUGUAGCGGUGAAAUGCGUAGAGAUCCGGAAGAACACCGGUGGCGAAGGCGGCAUCG
rnacentral:rRNA from 1 species